rnacentral:lncRNA from 10 species
AGGCACACAUUGCAGGCCUGCAGUAACCACCAUCAAAUCUUUAAAGCUACAAGGAGCUGCUCCAAUUCUGAAAGAGGAAGGAACCAAAGAGAAGAAAUAAACUGCCCAAGGGCACACAGUGAGUCACUGUCACUGGGACCCAGGUGUCCUGUUGCACCUCACAGCACAGACUUCCCCUGUGGAGGGUGGGACCCUCCACUGCAGCCCCAGGGGAGCACAUAUGAGUGUUGGGGCUGAGGAGGAGGCAGUCUUGACUACUCUGGAGCAGCCAGUUGCAGAGGGCCAGCCACAGCAGAGCAGAAAGGAGCUCUGAGAACAGAUUCCUCCAGGGGCUUCUGUCUCCAGGACACCCUUUGGUACAAGACAAAGCAAACCUCAGAGGGGAACACUCAACUGCUGCUGGUGGAUCCACAUCUAAUCCUUCUGACAUCCAAAAGGAGCUAGUCUUGGUUUCCUUCUCGUGCAUGCUUUGUGUCCCUGUCUAACCUCCUACCAGUGUCCUGUCCCCACAGUCCUCAGUCCCAGCCCCCUCUCCUGUCCGCUUCCCAUGAGCAGCUUAACUAGCUGCUCUGUGCCGAUUCUCUUCUGUUUUCCCAACGGAGGAACUUUGCACAGUGCUGGGCACAUGAUACCAGCCUGGAAGACAACGGAGCUGUCAUUCUGUUAAAAAAUUAAGAGAAGUACGCAGAACCUGCCUUUUUCUAAAUGAGAAGCUUUGGAAGCGACUGGACACUUUUGGCCAUUGCAGUCCACAGGUAGCCUCUCUGGGGGCAAUAGACAGACUUUUUCACUUCUUGUAUUUACUCCCCAAAUGCUUGAUUACAUAGCUUGUCACCUGUCAGGGGGGCCAGCUAGCUAGUUGCUGGGUUGAGUGGUUAAUCCAAUGAUUUGUAUAGCUGGCUCACUAAGGAAAUCAUAGGUACUCAAUAUAUAGCUACUGAACAAUUCAAUGAAUGAUUGAAUUAGUUAUCAUUUAACCUAUUGGCUGGGAAGUGCUGAAAGAAUUCAAACCCUCUUAAUAUGCUUCAAGUCCAGCCUGCACUCUCUACCUUCAGGGAUCCCUGCUGGGCCACUUGGCCCUUGCUCCUUUCUCCAGCAGAAAUCAUCCCCCCUGUACCCCUUUCUCCACUCCCACAUUCCCUUAUGGCCUGGUACAGACCACUGCUGUAUUAUCUGAGUCAUUAGCAUAGCCCUGAUGCCAUUUGUUUAUUUGUCUGACUUCCUCACUUGACUCUGAGCUCUCUGCAACAAGGUUUUGCAUGUUGUUCAAUUUAAAAAAUCUGCCUCUAAGGUUAUAAGCAGAGCCCAGGACAUAUCUAUUCAACAUGACAUUUCAUAGGGGUUCAGCAAAUGUUUGCAAACAAACAAAAAAGGAAUGCAGGACAAGGAUAUUUUGAGUACCAAUGAGCCAUCCAGCCCUGAGCUAGGUUCAGUCUCUGAAGGCAUGAAGAAGGAACCACAGGAGAAUUAACAUAACUCUCACCACGCUUCAUUGCAAUCCAUCGUUUACUUGUUUCUUUUCAC